UCGGCUUGGUGUACUUUCUGCACGCAACGGGUCAACAUCAAUUUUGGCCCAUGGAGAAAGGUGGGGGGAAUGUAGCGCUGUUUCGGCAGCGUGUUAUAGCCCUCCAUUGUAUGCAUGGGCUGGGAUUGAGGAACGCAGCACGCCCUUGUGGCCGGGGGUUCGCCCCACGUACUGUGCUUAGGAUGUUGGCAGAAUGGCUUUAAGCGACCCGUCUUGAAACACGGACCAAGGAGUCUAACAUGCUUGCGAGUGUUCGGGUGGAAAACCCUUGUGCGUAAUGAAAGUGAAAGUUGGGAACCUCCGCAAGGGGGUGCACCGACGCCCGGCCCUGACGUUCUCUGACGGUGCUGCGGUAGAGCAAGUAUGCUAGGACCCGAAAGAUGGUGAACUAUGCCU
rnacentral:rRNA from 1 species